CCUACGGGUGGCAGCAGUGGGGAAUAUUGCACAAUGGGGGAAACCCUGAUGCAGCGACGCCGCGUGAGUGAAGAAGUAUUUCGGUACGUAAAGCUCUAUCAGCAGGGAAGAAAAUGACGGUACCUGACUAAGAAGCCCCGGCUAACUACGUGCCAGCAGCCGCGGUAAUACGUAGGGGGCAAGCGUUAUCCGGAUUUACUGGGUGUAAAGGGAGGGUAGACGGCAGCGCAAGUCUGGAGUGAAAUCCUAUGGCUUAACCAUGGAACUGCUUUGGAAACUGUGCAGCUAGAGUGCAGGAGAGGUAAGCGGAAUUCCUAGUGUAGCGGUGAAAUGCGUAGAUAUUAGGAGGAACACCAGUGGCGAAGGCGGCUUACUGGACUGUAACUGACGUUGAGGCUCGAAAGCGUGGGGAGCAAACAGGAUUAGAUACCCUAGUAGUC
rnacentral:rRNA from 1 species